CUGACACACAAGGGGGUGCUGGCAUGCCGGGCAGCCAUCGAACCCUUGAUGCAUCGAGGAAAUGGCUGACCGAAAUAGGUUGAUGGUCCUGUAGGCCUUACCUGCUUCAAAGAGGGAAGUCAGGAAUUGUAGGACCGUAGUUACAGCGGCUGAAAUGGGAUCCAUGUCCCUAGCCAGGCACCAGCCAGCCCAAGCUCGCCAAGCUGACCCAUAUGCCCGUCUAGUGCCGGAAGCCCAUGCCUCCGCCAGUAGUGUCCGAAACUCCCUGGACAUCCCAGGGUCCCCUGAAAUCCGCCACGCCUGGAGCGGGAGGGAACC